rnacentral:rRNA from 1 species
CCUACGGGUGGCAGCAGUGAGGAAUAUUGGUCAAUGGGCGCGAGCCUGAACCAGCCAAGUAGCGUGAAGGAUGACUGCCCUACGGGUUGUAAACUUCUUUUAUAAAGGAAUAAAGUGAGGCACGUGUGCCUUUUUGUAUGUACUUUAUGAAUAAGGAUCGGCUAACUCCGUGCCAGCAGCCGCGGUAAUACGGAGGAUCCGGGCGUGAUCCGGAUUUGUUGGGUUUAAAGGGAGCGUAGAUGGGUUGUUAAGUCAGUUGUGAAGUUGUGCGGGUCAACCGUAAAAUUGCAAUUGAUACUGGCAGCCUUGAGUACAGUUGAGGUAGGCGGAAUUCGUGGUGUAGCGGUGAAAUGCUUAGAUAUCACGAAGAACUCCGAUUGCGAAGGCAGCCUACUAAACUGCCACUGACAUUGAUGCUCGAAAGUGUGGGUAUCAAACAGGAUUAGAUACCCGAGUAGUC